UGGGUGGAUCAGUGGCGAACGGGUGAGUAACACGUGAGCAACCUGCCCCUGACUCUGGGAUAAGCGCUGGAAACGGCGUCUAAUACUGGAUACGAGUAGCGACCGCAUGGUCAGUUACUGGAAAGAUUUAUUGGUUGGGGAUGGGCUCGCGGCCUAUCAGCUUGUUGGUGAGGUAAUGGCUCACCAAGGCGUCGACGGGUAGCCGGCCUGAGAGGGUGACCGGCCACACUGGGACUGAGACACGGCCCAGACUCCUACGGGAGGCAGCAGUGGGGAAUAUUGCACAAUGGGCGCAAGCCUGAUGCAGCAACGCCGCGUGAGGGAUGACGGCCUUCGGGUUGUAAACCUCUUUUAGCAGGGAAGAAGCGAAAGUGACGGUACCUGCAGAAAAAGCGCCGGCUAACUACGUGCCAGCAGCCGCGGUAAUACGUAGGGCGCAAGCGUUAUCCGGAAUUAUUGGGCGUAAAGAGCUCGUAGGCGGUUUGUCGCGUCUGCUGUGAAAUCCGGAGGCUCAACCUCCGGCCUGCAGUGGGUACGGGCAGACUAGAGUGCGGUAGGGGAGAUUGGAAUUCCUGGUGUAGCGGUGGAAUGCGCAGAUAUCAGGAGGAACACCGAUGGCGAAGGCAGAUCUCUGGGCCGUAACUGACGCUGAGGAGCGAAAGGGUGGGGAGCAAACAGGCUUAGAUACCCUGGUAGUCCACCCCGUAAACGUUGGGAACUAGUUGUGGGGUCCAUUCCACGGAUUCCGUGACGCAGCUAACGCAUUAAGUUCCCCGCCUGGGGAGUACGGCCGCAAGGCUAAAACUCAAAGGAAUUGACGGGGACCCGCACAAGCGGCGGAGCAUGCGGAUUAAUUCGAUGCAACGCG
rnacentral:rRNA from 1 species